ensembl:lncRNA
AGCACCCCCUCCUUCCCGCCCCGCGGACGCGGAGAUGGCGGCGGCAGCUGCAAAGGGAAGCGCCGGUUGUCCAGCGCCGCCCGGCGCUCCACCGCUGCCCGCCAGGAGCAGUGGGAAAAGGCGGGCGAGGCGGUCGCUGGGUCAACAGGCUCCCGCAACCCGGGAGCCGAGAAGGAUGCUGGCCUCGCCCCCUCCCGACGCGCCGGGAUGAGGGGGCGGGCCCCCCGGCGCCCAAUCACCACGCUCCGCCCGGUGGGCCCGCCCCGCGCCUGCCUCCCGGAGCCCCGGCGGUAGGAAGACUUCGGGAGGCUUGUGUGACCCCGGAGGGGGCUUUGCUGGAGUUGAGCCCACGUUCAGGAGCGUUCAGGCACCAGCAGCGCACGUUCCACAGAGACCCUCUCUGUUCUGCUGCCCAGAUUUUCUAUCCUGGAGCGCCCAGGUUCAGCAUGGCGUGGAAAGGUACUCGGUGAAGGGAUGGAAGAAAAGAAGAAAUUUUUGAAUUCCAUUUGGGCUCCUCUUUUCCUCCUUUCCUUUUGGUGACAUCCUGGUACAGCCUGGGAGCCGAGAGCCAGCCAGAGGCCCCUCCAGCUUUGUUUAAUCUUUAGAAAUCUCUUCUGCUCAAUGAGUGACUUCAUUACUAAAUUGAUGGCACCAGAUCAUUCUAACUAUGCAAAUCACAAACCCACAGCCAGCUGAGGAAAAGGCGGAUGAAAGAUUACAUUAAAAAUUAAAGCAACGUGUGGAGAUGCGAAGAUAAUGUGCUUACAAUUAUUUCUACAUUUUUAAUAUUUAUGCAAUUACAAAGCCCUUCAUGACAAAUACUAAAUCUUGAGUCAUAUUCCCUUUGCCCUCUGAUAUUUUUGACCUUGAACUGAGACUGCCAAAUAAUACAUAAAAAAUGGCUGUGGAAGAAUUUCCUUUGGCCUAUAAAUGAUAAAUUUUUUUUUCUUAGAAAGUGAUCUCAUUUCUUCCUAGCUUUUGUUUAUUUUCAAUGCCUUGUAUCUUUUACUCUGGUAUAUUGUGAUCACCCUUGAAAGGCUGGGCUUUCAGUUUUCCACAGUUUGGCUGUGUUGUUCGCUAGUGCUGCUGCUGUGAUGUGUUUUCUGUCAGAGGAAAUUUACAGGCACAUUAGCCUACUUGACAGGCACAGUGAGCCACAAGGCUCUCCUAAGGAGAGACUUCCACAUGCCAGAGCUGCUCUCGGUCUCUCCAUCUUGUCCUCCCUCUUCAGCCUUAAAACACCAACCUUAUUCAGAUGCAGAUCCAAGCCACUUUUGCUUAUGAGCAUUGCCCUGUAUGCUGGUUUUAAUUCUCUGGUUCCCAGUAACAGCAUUAAACCAGUUCUGCAGUAAUCGAUUCACAUUUCUACAAUAAUUUGACUACAGCAGUUUGUAGAUAAAACAAAUGUCCUCACAGUUAUAUAGAUACUAAGAAUGGGCAGAGCACUUUGUUUUCCCUGUGAUGAGUCAUAGACACAAAGAGGGGAAAGUAGUAUCCAAAAACGAUACAAAUGACAAGCAAUAUAAUUAACUUUUAGGGAGAGUGGUUACAGAGAAAGAUCUAAAACAAUUUGCUUUUCUCAGUGUGUCAUAGGAAAAUAGCAAGAAUUGAUAAAAUUUAUUAAAAAUUCAAAAACAUGAAGUGAGAUAUAACUGAAAAGGUAAAUUAUUUUCUUGGCAGAUUCCAAAUAAACUAGAAUAUUUCCGCAAGGCCAUCGGGGAACCAAAGACCUGUGUAUUUUUAGUUUCAUAUAUAUUAUUUCCUCCCCUUAGGGAGUAAAUUCACUAAGACAAAGAAGUUCUGGUACAUCCAUAUCCUGACUUGAUGCUAAGGCAUCUCUCCUAUUUAAAAUCUCCCAGUCAUUUUAAUAAAUAUUGAGGGGUGAUUUUUGUUUUGACCGCAUUCCCUUUGUCCUUAUGUUUGAACCAUCAGCAUGUAACUAUGUAACCCACAGAAGUUAUUUGGAAGAGUUGAAAAUCACAUAUAAGUGUCUUCCUUGACUCUGACAAGAGGCAGAGCUGUUUACCAAGCCAGCUGACAAUAUUGGCCUGAGCUGCUCUAUUUGGUGAAUGAAUAAAUAACCUUGCAUCAUCCAAAAGUUGGGAAUUUGGGGUUUUUUUCCUGGGGUACUGACUCCAGAGAACUGCUGAGGAACAUUCUGUUUGUUCCCUUGUCAUUUUCCUGUGUCUCUGGGCCAUACUCCUGAAAGGUUUCGGAGAAGGCACCAGAGGCUGUGUUCUCACCUAUGUCCUUUGUCUUUUCCUGUCCUUCAGAGGUCAGACAAGGCUCUUGUAGUUGUGGCAACUCAGUGGUCUUCAAAGAGACCAACUGCCCUGAUGCCUCUGAGGAGCGAGCAGACCACAGAUUCUUGUCUGUUCAGUAGUCCUUCCUUAGCCUGGGUUUCUGCAAUAAUAGUCUGCUUUCUGCCUUUUCUUCUCCCUAAAAACCCUCAGGAUACAGAUAGGGAACUAGAGAUCACUCCAGCUAGUCCAGAAAAAUGGCAACAGGUCCCAUUAGUCCAGCCUGCCGCUGGGAAACAGUAGAAAACCUGAGGAACAAGAAUUAUUUACCCUCAUAUGGAGAAAACCAAAGUGCCAAUCACUGAACUCUUAUCAACAGUAAUACUCAACCUAAAGGUUUAUAGAAAAAGCAUUGAUUUAUCUAGAGUAAUUUGAGUGAGAUUCUUGAACAAGAGGCCAAUCUGGGUAUCUUUAGGUACCACUUUAAACAAAAAUUCACAGGGUCUUAAAUAACAGUGGCUAAAGAUUUCAUUAACAGUGUGUAUGCCUAUACCAAAAUGAGUGGGUGAGGUUUUUCUAAUUUUAUAACUAAAUUAUUUUAACAAAUAAUUAUCCAUUGUUAACUGUGUGCCAGGCAGGCCUGGUGUAGAUGCUGAACAUCCAUUAUAGGGCUCAUGUUAAGCCUCCCUAGCAGAUGAUAUCUUAGAAUUUCUGGCACCCUUUGCUGGACCCAUUCACAAUUUUUUUAUCCACUCAUGUUUUAGACUACACUGAAGUGAGCUCUCCAAAAUCAAGGCCUUCUCUUGCCUUCCAGCUCCUUCAGUACAAAGCCAAGACAAACCCAGACUCGUGGACACAUAUAUUUUCACUGGGAAAAGAAUCUUCAGGAGUAUCAUUUUAUCAUUUCCUCGAAGUCCUAAGGACGUCUUGUUUUUGGCAUCAAGAACUCUUUCCUGAAACUCAGUGCCCAGGUAGAUAAACUGCCAAAAAGGAAUCUAAAACAUGGAAGUGUUUGCCAGUUUGGAUGUCUAUACUCAUAGCUAUCUAGGGAGCUGCAACAAGAUGGAUAGAGAGAGAGAAUUACUCACCUGGAAGGCUGGCUGUCGAGAGAAAAAUCCAAACCCAGGAGUUUUUCUCCUAAGAGCCCCUAUGACAUUUUAUUCUUUAAAUAAAUCUUUUCUUCCUCUCUUUAGGUGAGAGAUUGACAUUUUAAGAUCAAUCAUCCUCUGCUUUGCAGGGUUGGUAGACUAAGAACUGGAUAAAUGGAAAUUAGGCAAAAUUUCCAUUUUUUGAAUAAAAGUACUCAAAAUAGCUAUAUUCUAACAGUACAAAAAAGGGAACCUCUUCCCUCAGUGGUCAUUCUCCUUGCUAUGGUUAUCUCAAGACCUUUUGAUGUUAAAAUUCCACCCUGUUUUCUCUAAAAGAACCAUUCUGAACAUCCACCUGCUGUUUGAAUAGCAACAGAAAGCAAAAGAAUCUCACACUAUGCUUUUUUCCAUCACAGGCAGAGAUGUUUUAGCCCUUUAGAUGUAGUCACAGGUUACCAGCUUUUCCAGCCCCUUUCUAUCAGGAGAUAAAUUUAAUUGUUUUACUAUAGUCUACCACUGAAUUUUUUUCCUGUUUCUAUUACUCAGUAGCUUCUCUUCUUGUACAAAAUGACCCCAUUAACAAUUGUCUAGCCUCUCUAAAAAUCAGAUUUAUUUCAUACUUUUAACCAAAGUCAUCUUUAAAAAGUACGAAGGCUCUCAGGUCAUUUAGUCACUCAGUAGAUAUUUAUUGAGUCUGCCAUGUUCCAGGCACUGGGCAGGGUGCUGAGUACCACAGAAUUCCGGGAUCAUGCUGUGUUGUGAGCCCCAGAUGAGAGUCAGUAGGGGCCUUUCUAGGAUCAGCCUUUUUUCUGACUACUGUGUGGUCUAAGCAAGCUCAUCAAACUCUGGGACUCCAGGGUUUUUUUACCUGCAAAAGAAGGCAUGGGGAGAGCUGUCCUUCCUCCAUUCUCUUAGCAUUCUCUGAUUGCUGCUGGUUUGCAGAACUCACUGCAAGAGGAACUCAGCGACAUCACAUAGGUGAGUGCUCUCAUAACAGCUCCCAAAGAGUCCUAACUCUAAUCCAGUGGGGUAAUUUUUGUGCUAAGAUUUAUAUUUUCCAAAGGCUCAAGAAGAUAUUUUUAAGAGGAAUACAUAGGUAUGUCUUCCACUGUGCUGUAUAUUUGAGCAUAUUCUGCCCCCCAAGGUGCUUGUCCUACUUCCCAGAUUCUAGGUAGUGUAGGGAGUAAUUGCCAAGUGUGGAGAAUCAAUUUGAAUUCCAAGCACCUCAGUCUGAUCUCCCCAAGACAAUCACAAACUGCAGUUACAGAAACAAGCAAUGAGGCCAGGUAAAACUAGAUCUACAGAAGUGACAGUUCAGGGCACAUUAAAACUCCCUAAUUUGAUGCCAUCUAAGCAUUUCCAACAGUUUUCAAAGCACCUGCAACUUACAUUAUUACUAUUUAUUUGUGAGUAUUAAUAAAAUGAAUGCUUUCUUUUGUACAGUAUUGUAUUGUUCCUUAUUUGCAAGCCACUAAAUAUUCUUUUAAUAA